GGGAAGGAGUUGGUGAGCGCCUUCUCGAGGCCAAGUGAUCGAUGGGCGAUCCGAUAGCGCCCACUGCGGCUGUACUCUUGUCAAUGGCAUGGAUGGUGAUAAAAUUCCUUCGAGUAGAUGUCGACAAUCUACGGCACGUAUCAAUGGAAUAUUACGUCCUAUGUAUUUCCGUCACCAUAAUUAUAUGAAGACGAAGUAUAAAGUGAAUAAGUUGCAUUUGUAGUUGUACUAAUGCAUAAUCAUUUGGCGGCGGCAAGAAAACAGCGGAGCCGAAUUUCCAAGAGACUAGCAAGUUGAAAACGGACGAAAAAGUAGGCCAAGUUGUACGAAAAAGGGUCGCGGUGCAGCGUCUGUCACAGAAUGUGGAUUACCGAUAACUACUUGAGGCCUGGAUCAUAGGUUGGAACGUCACCAACAACAAUACGUGUUCACGGCUGAUCACAUAAGCGCAUAUUUGUGCUGGUCAGGCCUAGCUCAAUAGUGUUCAAGCCCACUAAUCGACCCAGAAAAGUGGGAAGAGUUGAAGGCUCGUGUAUUUAAACGACUUGGAUGGUAAGCACCACUUUCAACGUCAGAAUAUUAUGUGCGAGUCCGUAGAGAUGACGAGAACCUAUACGCAGAAGAGACAUCGUGUUGGAGCGUGUCAGAUCAGCGCGAAGGUCAAGGUAUUCCUAAAAAAAACAAAGAGUCACGUCUGCGUGACAACUUUGUAAUUUCCUUACUGCAAUAUCGCUACUUGAAGAAGUUGCAGCUGCCUCGUUUGACGUUGCAACCAUGUUCUGUCGCUCCGGGAAAGCGGAUGAGCACGCAAGCAUUCAAGAAACUGUACAGCAGACAUGGAAACGCCUCUAAAUCGGUCUCAAAACAGGAAGAUGAUGGUUUGGUGUGAAUGUUGCCAAAGUCCAAAGCCUAGGACGUUAAACACCCCUAUUUGAGGAUCCACUCCCAUUCCCAGGAACUUGCAAUUAGACAAUCUGCUGGGAAGAAUGUCUGGGCGCGUACGCGCAAGGAUCAACGAAGGUUAAUAUGUCGUGAUCGAUUUCUCUGCGUAGAAGCACUUCGAGACCAAGAUUUCCGUCUCUUCAGAAACUCUUUCUGUAGCUCUCGCAGUACUACUUGUCGCUAGCGUUUGUUGCACCAGCGCGUCCCGGAGAAUAUCAUCACAUAUAGUAUGUACUUCUUCCAAGUCUCAAUUCGAGCAUCCCUUAGUGUAGCAACGGUCUGUUGGUCAGUGAGAACACGCGAGGGACGACUGGCUAUGUUGAAUGUUCUUGGCAUCAGCGGCAGAGGCGAUUGUGAUAUACUGUACUAAGUUCUUCAGUACAAUAUAGGCCGGUGAGGAUUAAGAACCGGCUAUGAAUUUCAACUAACUGGUCAACUGAAAGAAGCUGUUCAGGCUCUGCCCGUCGUCAUUUGGCACGCACAUCUUACUUGAUCGAUGCCACUCCGUUGCUUGGAACGGCAGGCAUGCAGACAAUGGUAAUAAGUUGCGGUUCGCUCUCUCGUUUGCUACAAACGCACCUCGGCCUAGUGAAAUCAGUGAGGCAGAUUUCGGUUCAACCAAUGGCUGCUUCACACGAGACAAAGGAAAUACCCUGCUAAGAGUCGGCUUCUUCAGGGACAGGAACUAGAGAAACUACUGUAGCUUCCUGCGGCGAAAGUAGAAAGAUAUAUUGACGAAGUUCUAGUGAGCCCACUGUAGAAGAUAUGUGCCAAAUUCAAACUUUUUGUUAAUACAUUGAAUAAUACGAUC